GAGAGAUCAGAAGCGAGAAUGUUGACAUGAGUAGCGACAAACAGGGUGAGAGACCCUGUCGCCAUAAGUCCAAGGGUUCCUGCUUAAAGCUAAUCUGAGCAGGGUAAGCCGGCCCCUAAGGCGAGGCCGAAAGGCGUAGUCGAUGGGAACACGGUUAAUAUUCCGUGGCCAGGAGGAAGUGACGGAUCUCAAAGAUUGUCUGCCCUUAUCGGAUUGGGUGGGCCGUUCAGAGGUCCCUGGAAAUAGCCCUCCAUCAGACCGUACCCUAAACCGACACAGGUGGACUGGUAGAGUAUACCAAGGCGCUUGAGAGAACCACGUUAAAGGAACUCGGCAAAAUGCCUCCGUAAGUUCGCGAGAAGGAGGCCCCGUCUGUAGGCAACUAUAGGCGGGGGGCACAAACUAGGGGGUGGCGACUGUUUACUUAAAACACAGGGCUCUGCGAAGCCGUAAGGCGACGUAUAGGGUCUGACGCCUGCCCGGUGCUGGAAGGUUAAAAGGAGGGGUGCAAGCUCUGAAUUGAAGCCCCAGUAAACGGCGGCCGUAACAAUAACGGUCCUAAGGUAGCGAAAUUCCUUGUCGGGUAAGUUCCGACCUGCACGAAUGGCGUAACGAUCUCCCCGCUGUCUCUAACGUGGACUCAGCGAAAUUGAACUGUGUGUCAAGAUGCACACUACCCGCGGUUAGACGGAAAGACCCCAUGAACCUUUACUCCAGCUUUGCACUGGCAUCAGGAUUGCGAUGUGCAGGAUAGGUGGUAGCCUUUGAAGCGGGGACGCUAGUUCCCGUGGAGGCUCCCUUGAGAUACCACCCUUUGCACUCUUGAUGUCUAACCGCGGCCCGUUAUCCGGGUCCGGGACCCUGCAUGGUGGGGAGUUUGACUGGGGCGUCGCCUCCCAAACAGUAACGGAGGCGCGCGAAGGUAGGCUCAGACCGGUCGGAAAUCGGUCGUUGAGUGCAAUGGCAGAAGCCUGCCUGACUGCAAGACUGACAAGUCGAGCAGAGACGAAAGUCGGUCAUAGUGAUCCGGUGGUCCCAAGUGGGAGGGCCAUCGCUCAACGGAUAAAAGGUACUCUGGGGAUAACAGGCUGAUGAUGCCCAAGAGUCCAUAUCGACGGCAUCGUUUGGCACCUCGAUGUCGGCUCAUCUCAUCCUGGGGCUGGAGCAGGUCCCAAGGGUAUGGCUGUUCGCCAUUUAAAGAGGUACGUGAGCUGGGUUUAGAACGUCGUGAGACAGUUCGGUCCCUAUCUGCCGUGGGUGUAGGAGACUUGAGAAGAGUUGCCCCUAGUACGAGAGGACCGGGGUGAACGAACCACUGGUGGACCAGUUAUCGUGCCGACGGUAGUGCUGGGUAGCUAUGUUCGGACAGGAUAACCGCUGAAGGCAUCUAAGCGGGAAGCCCCCUUCAAAACAAGGUCUCCCUUGAGGGCCGUGGAAGACCACCACGUCGAUAGGCCGGAGGUGUAAGUGCAGCAAUGCAUUCAGCUGACCGGUACUAAUUGCCCGAAAAA
rnacentral:rRNA from 1 species